AAUUCAGAAAAGGUAACAGGUGCCCCAGAGGGGGAGAAUAGGGAACCGGGUGUGAACCCCGGACGGACCCGCCACUGUAAGGCAGAGUUUUGAUGCUCACAGCCACUGGAAAACCGGGAAGGUGUGUCAGAACGAUGAAGCCGAGCCAGGAGACCUGCCUGUGACCGGACGUUCAUG
rnacentral:ncRNA from 1 species